rnacentral:rRNA from 1 species
UACGGAGGGUGCGAGCGUUGUCCGGAAUCACUGGGCGUAAAGGGCGCGUAGGCGGCGCGACAAGUCAACGGUGAAAGCUCGGGGCUCAACCCCGAGUCGGCCGUCGAUACUGUUGGGCUGGAGCACUGUAGAGGCAGGUGGGAAUUCCGGGUGUAGCGGUGGAAUGCGUAGAGAUCCGGAAGAACACCGGUGGCGAAGGCGGCCUGCUGGGCAGUAGCUGACGCUGAUGCGCGACAGCGUGGGGAGCAAACAGGG